GGCGAGAUAGCUCAGUUGGUUAGAGCGCAUGAUUCAUAAUCAUGAGGGCGGGGGAUCGUGUCCCCCUCUCGCUACUA
rnacentral:tRNA from 1 species